GUCCGCGGCCGGCGCGCUCCCCGGUCCUCCCUCGCUCAUCUCCUAUGCUCAUAUUUGGACUCGGCUGCCCGUGCCCAGGAAUUUCCCGUCAUGCCUCCCGCCGCCCCGUCCGUCGCCCGGAGCCGGGGAGGGAGGAGGAGGCUCGGACAGCGGCGGCGGCUCCCUGGCCUUUCGAUGAGCGCGCGGUGGACCCUCCCGCGCCCCCUCUCGCUCUGCCUCUGCCUUUGCCUGGCCGCGGUCGCGGCGCGGGCAACCGCGCAGUCUGGUAAGUUCAGUCUUCCUUCCCACCUCGCCUCACCCCUCCCACCCGACCCUACCAAGUUAGGGUGUGACCCGAAGGCGGGUCUCCUCCGAGCGCCGGUUGCGCCCCUCAGCCUCUGGCAGGGACACCCCCUUCCCGAGCCUAGGAGGGGCGAGGGAAGGUUGCGCCCCGCGCGGGCUGUGAGGGGCUGACUGGAAGGAGGUCAAGGCUGACCAGCGUUCCCCCCGCCGACGGAAGGCGCCUGGCCGCCGAGCUGACACCUUACCCCAUGCCCAGAACGAACCUGAGCCUGCGGGAGGCUCCUUCCCGGCGCGGGCCCGAGGGAGGGGUCUGGCCCCACAGCGGCGAGUGGCGAGGGAGGGGCGCGGAGCCCGCGGCCGGGAUAGGGGACUGUCCCGGAGCCCCCUACUCUGCGCAAGUUGGCCCCGUGGGCGUCGCCGCCCAGAUAACGGGCCCUGGGCGUGGGAACAAGCCGGCCAGGCCCAGGCCACCGCCGCGUAUCACGCUGUGGAGUGGGGCGUCGGGCGGGCGGGGGCGGACGGGGAGCGGCGCGGAGGAGCGCCCCCGCGGGCUCCGCGCCGCUGCCCUCCCUCCGUGCCUCCUGCGCCGCUGGGCCAGUCUCCCGCGGGCCCGGCUGGCAUCUCAUAGGCCAAAAAUCGCAGAGAUCCCCGAGUUUGCCAGGUACCAGUUUUGUUUUGUUUUUAAACGGAAAAAAGCAUUUAAGUCUUUUUUUUUUUUUUUAAGUUUUACACUGAACUGUUUCAAGUCAAACUAUGAAUGUAAAGUCCUCAUUCUACCUUAUUAGGUUUAAGGCUAGAAGCCAUUAAGUCGUAACUGUAAGGGUUUUAAAAGAUAAUUUUCUUCAAAGCAUGUACAAAAUACUGAGGAGGAAUUAAGGUAAAUGUGAAAUUGCGUGAAUUCUUUCUUUUGUGAUGCGUAAACUAGCCGUCAAAGCUUCUUGGUUCUCUAUUUUGUCUGGAAUGGGAAGAACAGAAAUUUACAGUUCCUGAGAGCUGAGAUUAUUUAGGAGAUUUCAGUUUGCUUUUGUUUUUGUCAUCAAUAGACUAAGCUGUCAAAAUAAGAUUUGGCUAAGUAGGACACAUUAAUUAGUUGAAAGCUGACUCUUCUAAACAUAGAUUAUAUUCUCUGGUUUAGUAUCCUAUUUUCAUUUGCAGCAUAGGCAGCAAAAUAGAUUUUAUAAGAUAAUUUUAUGUAUAACAAUCUUCACUGUUCCUAGAACAUAUAAAACUGUCAAUUAGAAUUAAUGGCAGAUAUUUACAAUAUUUAACUAUUAAAUGUGCAGCUUAUAAAUACUAAUAUAAGCAAUGAUAUCAGUUUCAUGUUUGUUUUGGGAUAGCACUUCUUGGCAAACAACAGGUUCUAAUUUCUCAUUUUAUCAAUGGCCUUCUAAAAAAUACUGUGCUGGCUGAUAAAAAGUGGAUUGUGGGCUGGGGAUGUGGCUCAAGCAGUAACAUGCUCGCCUGGCAUGCGCGGGGCGCUGGGUUCAAUUCUCAGCACCACAUAAAAAUGAAAUGAAAAGAUGUGUCCACAGAAAACUGAAAAAUAAAUAUUAAAAAAAAUCUCUCUCUCUCUUAAAAAAAAAAGAGUGGAUUGUGUUGUAGGAAAUAUAUGUAUGCUGUGUGUGUGCUCACGCGUGCACAUGCGCGUACCUCAGUUUGUUGACUUACCUAAUAAUUUUGGUAAAAUAGCCCUUGAUGACCCAAAUCCACUGCUAUGUGCCCCCUUGCCAGUAAUUUUUAACAAGUUUAUAUUUGGAUCUUUUAAACAUAGAUUCUUUUAAUUUUGGUCCCAACUGGUGUAUCAGUCUAAUUUUUGGUGACUUUUACUAGGGCCUUUUGUGAAUGUCUGGAAUUUUUUCUUAUUUUAAAAUAAGUAGCUUUUAGCCAUCUAGAUUUUAACUUUUUUACAGUGUCUAUAUUGCUCAUCCCCAAGGUUGCAACAUAAAACUUUUACAUUUCAAAUCAACUUAUUAUUUUUACUCUUUCAAGGUGCUUAUUUCAAUAUUAUAACUAAAAUGUUAACCUCUUAAGUCAGAAAUCCUUACUGUUUUACUCAAGUAAUGAUAAUAUGCAAAGAUUAUCUGCAAAGUAGGAUUCAUUAGUUUUCUAAUACAUGUUUAUUCUAAUAUGUAUUUAUUAAGCACAAGGAGAGACUAAAUUAUUGAGCAUAGAUUCUAAAUCAUCCAAAAGCAACCUUAGGAAAUAAUACUUUUUAGUUCUAUCAUAAACUGGUCACAAUCCCUUUGAUUUUAUUCUCAACUGUCUAAUGUAUUACAGUUAGAGAUUUGGUUGAUGAAUUUAGUUCCAGAGUUUAGCUUCCUUCUCUGUAAAAUGAUGAAGCUGGGUAUAGUGUCCGUGUCUCUUCUGACUCCAGGAUCCUAUAAUAUUGUUUUUGUUUAUUUAACCCUGCAGAGCCACCCACCAUAUCUGGUUCAAACUUCUGAUUGUCAGUUUCUGACUUGUUAUACUUGUUAAGCUGGUCUAACUGUAGUUAGAUCUGAUGGGUGUGCAUACAGCUUUGGGGAGCUCAAUUCUGCCUCAAGAUUGUCUUCAUACACACAGAGUCCUUAGUAUUAAACUUCGAUUACUUUCUUCUCUUCAUCUACUAGUACAAAGUGCUAGUUAUGUUAUAGGAUAAAUUCCCGAUUGCUCUUUGUGGAUAGUAAAGUUCAGGCCCUAACAUCAUUUUGAUAUUCAAUUUUGGUUUUGGGGUUCAGGUUAGGGACACCAUCAGAGAGCUCCCAAACCUUCUGUGGUUGAGAAGGCUGUGUGUGGCUAGUUAGCUGGAAGCAUUCCAAAUGAAAUGACCUAUGUUGGGGUAUCACUUUUUGAUCCACAGAAGACUGAAGUGGAUCAAUCUACCUGUCUGAUUUAUUCAGAAUUAAGUUACCUUUGCAGAGGAGGGUGAUCAGCUAAUUAAUUGGCCAUUUAUUAGGUGACAUUUCUUAUUGUUGUACAGAUAACUUAAGGUUUUUGUUUUUAAUUUAAAUGUUCUAUUGUUUUCUGUUUCCUGGGAAUAAUGCAUUUUCCUUUCGAAAUGCUUAGCAAAGGCUCUGAUCCCUGUUCACAUAUUCAUUUGUAUAGUAUAUCAAAGUCUACUUGUGGUUUUUAAGGAAGGAAUAGAAUUAAAGAAAAAAAGAAACUAUAAAAAACAUAGACCAGUAAAAAUCAGUCAGUUGACUUUAUGGAAAAUUUUGGUUGUUGCCUCAUUUAAGUUUCCCUUGCAAGUAACAGAAAUGAACUUGAACAAGUUUUAGCAAAAAGAAGGAAGGAAGAAAGGAAUUUGUUGGAAGACUACUGGAAGCCAAGUUCAGACAGACCUUAUCAGGUGGGGCCUGGGACCAGGGAUUUGAAAACAUGGAACAUUCCCUGUCUAUAGUCUUAUCUCUCCUUGCAUCUUUAUUUUCUCUUAGCUGACCUUUUUUAUUUAUGUCUUUUAUGUUUGUUGUUUUUGAUAUUUGAAUGUGGCUAUUCAGCAGCUCCUUGGCUCCAAGCACAAGGAGAGAUUAAAUUAUUGAGCACUGAUCUUAAAUUUCUGAGAGGAAGAGAAUGGUAGACACUUUGGGUCAUAUGGUUGAUCUAGAUUUUUCCUAACGUUUCUUCUAAUUCUGGAGUUAUCUACAGUAUGUAGUACGUGUAGAUGGUUUGCAUAUACCUUAUUACAUUUUACAUCAUGGAGGUAUUAGUCCUUAAAAUGAAUCAUUUGUUCUUGACUGAAAUGUGUAUGGAACUGUGUGACAUUGUCAGUGAAAUCCUAGGACCUUAGUGCACUUCACAUUAUUGUAGUAACGCUGAAGAGGAAAGAAGCUUCUGGGGAGUAGACUGAGGUUAGCACCACAUUUAGGAAUUAUAAACUUGGCAUGCAACUGAGGCAGGAAAAUCCUGUCUGAUAGCAACUAAUCCAUUCUGCAGAUAAUCAUCUGCAUAUUUUCAGGAGUUUACUAGAUAAAAUGCCAAACUCAAAUAGCUUUUUAGGAUAAAUUGAUUUAAACUAAUGUAAUUAGAGAUAUUCUUAGAAAUAGUUCAGGGACCAAGAAUUCAUCAGUUUAGGCUAUUCCUGUGGCCUGCAACUAUUCUAUCAGAUUGAAGUCCUUAAGACUUCUUUCAGAUGGUGUUUUGUGAAGCCUUCCUCAUCUUGUAGAAUUUAUAAUUUCCUAUACAUUUUAUACAUUUUCUAUAACAGUUUAUACCUUGGUUGGCACAACUUUUACCACUGUGUUAUAAUUUAGUCUAUAUGUAUUAAUCUUCUUCAUUAGACUAAAUUCCUGUAGUCCAGUGAAUCACUGACUUUGGAUAAGGCUCAGGAUCAGUUGUCUCAGGUUAUAUAUUUUUAAAAUAUUUACUUUUUUGUUGUAGUUGGAUGCAAUACCUUUAUUUUAUUUAUUUUAUGUGGUGCCAAGAUUGAACUCAGAGCCUCGUACGUGCUAGGUUCUCUACCGCUUAGCCACAACCCCAGCCCUGAUUCAGGUUGUAUUGAUUUUUACUUUUUCAGAUAUUCUGAUACUUUUGUGACAUCUUACUUGCUACUACCAUUUUCCUUUGACAUUGGAACUCAGUCACAGUGCUUUUCUUUUAUAGUCUGUUUCUUAGAUUUUACAGGCUUUCCCAUGAACAUUCUGAUUUUCAUUGUGAAGAUCAAAUAUAUAGAAUGAUGGGAUGUUUUCCUGUCAAUUAAAAUGGUACAGGGAGGGAGCAUGUAGCACACUUAUAUGAAAGGGAGUAAACUUUUGUAGAGCACCUGACAUUUAUUUACCAGAUUAGACAGAGAGCAGGCAUAGAAAAAAAAUUUGAGCAUAUUUAAAAAGGAAUAGCAAGAAGACAAAGUAAAAGAAACUUUGGUUUGACUUAGAACAUGGAAACCUUUUAAUGCUAGACCAAGGAAUUUGGAUUUAUUUAGUAAGGAAUGAAAUUGAAGUUUCUUGAUCCUUGAAAAGUCAUAAUUGGAGUUGAAUUAUAGGUUGUAUUAUCUAAUAAUUCAGAGAAUGAAUUGAAUUGGAAAGAAACCAGGGGAUGAAUAAAAAAGUGUUGUAAAUGUUUUGAUCAAAGAACACCUGAACUAGAGCAGUAGGUAUGGGGUUGGAGAAGUAUUGCUGAAGCACAUUAAACAAAUAAACAAUUAGUUGGAUAUUGGGAAACAAGGGAUGAGUAAAGGAUGAUGAUAAGAUGUUAAGACUGGUUGAUUGAAAGAGUGUGAACUCAGGUUUGUGGGUAGGGUAGAAAUGUUUUGUUUUAGAUCUCCUGUUUGAAGUGCUGGUAGGACAUUUAUAUGGAAAUGUGUAGUAGAAUCAGAUGGUGUGGGAUUGGAACUUGGAGAGAUUUUGGGCUAGAAAUAAAACAUGUAUGAGUAAGGAGGUUUAAAAAUAAAGAUAGGAAGAGAGCAUUAGUUGGCUGAAGUAAGAGGAAGGGUACAGGAAAAACAUUACAAAGAAGAUAGAAUUUGAUCUGGCUUUACGUUUUUCUUUUUUUUUGUUUUGUUUUUUCUUUCUUUCCUUUCUUUCUUUUGGUUCUGGAACUUGAACCUAGGCAAGUGCUCUACCUAUUAGCUACAUCCUAGGCCCUUUGAUCUGCCUUUACAAGAUGUUCACUCAACUUCUGGCAUUCUGUCCUUGAGCUUUCUUUGUUUAAGGAACAUUGUUUUUUAAUUCUACAAAUAAUAUGUGGGAAAAAUUGAAUAAAGGAUACUGUACCCAGAAUGACCUUACCAAAGUACAAGAUUGUUGCUGCUACUUUCUUGACUAACCCUCCUUCCAUGGCAUCUCAACUUUGUUAAGAUAAAGAACGGAUUCCUUAGUUGUUUUCAUCAUCACAAAACCUUGUUUCUUUCUAUAAUUUGGACUUCCUGCAAGUCAUUCAGUUAGUGCUGAAUACAUAUUCUGUCUCACACUCCUCCUCGUUCCUCCCUUUCUCUUCCCCAAGAAUAGACAAAAUGUGAAGAUGUGAUUUCCAGCAGAUGGAGUACCCUGUGUACUUGAGAAGUCUUUUAUGGGCACUUUUUGUUGUCAGGGUCAGGUUCUUAACCAUAAGAUAAUUGUUGACAAGUUCCUAAUCUUAAAAAACAAAAAAUUAUGAUAAAAAUUAUUUCUCUCCCCCCCCCUUUUUUUUGUUAAAAUAAAACAGAACACGUUGCUUGUGUUAUCUCUUUAAAUGUCUCCUGUACAAGUAUCCUGUACACUUGAGUUGGCCACACUGGCCAUCAUACGAUAACCUCUGACACUUGGUAACCUCUGACACUUGGAUGUGAUAGUUUGGAACAGCAUUGUUAUCUGCAUUUGUAUAAUUGAGUUACCCAAAUAUGUGCUGAUUUGGAAACUUUAGGACCUGAAGGUAAGCUGGGGAAAUUUAUCUUAUGAGAGCCUUCAUUUAGACAGAUUAUAGAUAUUUAUAAAACAUGGAGAUGACUACAGGUGAAACAGAAUUAAGAAUGGCAUAAAGUGUUCUCAGAGUUCAGCUUCUAAACCAAUCAUAUAUCUUGAUCCUCAGUUUCUAAAAAUAGUACAUUGUUCAUAACAUUUGUCUAAAGUGACACAUUUAUGUAUGGCAUAGAGUAUUAUGUAUGGCAUAGAGUAAUUUCUGACUUGCUAAAUUAAAAAAAAUAUAUAAGAACUCUUUCAAAUGCUAGUAGUUGUGCUUUUAGUAGCUCUUCACUGAGAAAGUACAUAACAACUACUAUAAAACUUUGACUUGCAUUUUUAAAAAAAUAUGAAAGCAUUUGUUUGGAAAGUGCACAUAUAUAGAAAUUAUGACUUAGUCUACAGACAGCCAUUGAAUUCUUGUUUUAUAGAUACUCUCAGGGAAGUUCUGGCUUUGACUUCCAGUGGCUCAUUAUCAUUUGCUUUAGAAUGUGGGGGAGAGUUUUUGUUUGAAAAUGUCAGCCAUAACUGAAAUUUUGGAAUUACUGGAAGCUCCUAAAUAUACUCUUACAACACCUAAUGCUUAUUUUAUAGCAUGCAAUAUGUUUUAUGCUGAUUGGCCUACUGAACAGUCUCAGGGAUUAGAAGUCAAAUACAGUAUACAAAUACUUUAAAAAUUGCAUUUUGGGGCUGGAGUUGUAGCUCAGCUGUAGAUCGCUUGGCCAGCAUGUGUGAGGCACUGGGUUCGUUUCUCAGCACUGCAUAUAAAUAAAUAAAUAAAAUAAAGGUCUAUCAACAACUAAAAAUAUAUUUUAAAAAAAUUUAAAAAAUUGCAUUUUCAAGUGUAUGAGCAUCAUUCCUAGGACUGUAGAGAGAUUUUUAAGGUGAAAUUUAGAAGAUUAUUUGCAUAUACAUACAUACAUACCUACAGCUGUUACUGCUAUGACCAUAACAUAACUGUCUUCUAGUACUAUAAAUUAUAUGAUGAAUCCUUGUAGUUUCUUCUUUUUAUUUAAAGCAAAAAAAAAAAUCCUUCAGUAUACGUGUUAAACUUAAGCCAUUAUUGAAAAUAGGACUAUGGUGCAUGGUAGAGUCUAUUAAAAGAAAAUCAGUACAGUCCUUGCAUAAAUCAAGAGUCCUACAUUUUAUGUUUAUUCUUUCUUUUUUAUUUUUAUUUUGUUUGGUGGUCAGAGAAUUUUGGUUUGGUAGGGCUUAGGGGGAAACUGUAUAAUGCCUAUUAUAGAUGGAUACUUAAAUUAGUGGUGUGUAAUUGAGAAAAAGUACAGACAUAUCUCUCUGGACAUCAUCCAGGGGAUUAGACACGACAAUGGGUGAGAGGCCAUGAGUGGUCUUGGAUUGCUAGUUUCACAGUAAUUGAAAGCAAAAGAUAAAAGUGCACCAUAGUCCUUGUUUCUGAUUUUUUUGGUAGAUGAAUAUGCCUUCAACUCAGGCUGCCUUCCAGGAAGAGAAUGGGUUGAGGACAGAGGAUGUUUGUCUAUAAAUAGAGGUAUGUGAGAAAUUGCAAGUUCAUUUGAUUAUUUGCAUCCUGUGUUCAUGAUCAGGUUGCAAGGGAAUCAGGCAUAAGAAGAACACUGGGUGGUGAAUUGGGAGAUUGGGUUUUCCUAGACCUGUUCUUAUCUUAAGUGUCUUGGUUUUAAUAUCUGCAAAAUGAAUGAAUUAGACUAGGUAAUACCUGGUGUUACUUUUUGUUUAAGAUUCUGUCAGAUCUGAAUUGUCUAAAAGUCUCCAAUAGCUUCCAUAAUUUUUAAUGAAAAUAAUAUGAUUAGUUAAUUAUAAAAUUCUCUUUUUCUUGUUAUGUUUUGUUCAAGUUGCACAAGCUAUUUUGUUGAACUAACUACAAAUGCUCUCUAAGAUCUGUUUGUACUUUAUAGCCUAGUGUGUCCAGUAAUUUGAUCUACAGGCAGUUACAUAACCCUCUUAAAAAUUUAGUAUUUAUUUAAAUGAUAGAUUAUACUAUACUACAGGUAUCAUAUUGAAUAUCCCAUCUGAAAUAAUGGCAUUAAGCACCAGAAAUCAUGUCUGUUAUUCUGUAUACAUAGCCAGUAAUUACUUGUCUAUGCUUGAAAAUAUAUCUCAGAUGAAAAAGUCCUCUUUUAACAAAGGUAUACUACCAGUGGAAUUUGCCUUUGACCAUCUUAGAAAUAUAUUUAACUCUUAGCACUGCUUAAUCUUGAUUUUAAAGAUUUGAAAGUAAAGAUUGAAAAAAUAAAUCUUCACUAUGAGCUUUAAAGAAAAAAUGUUUUAUUGACAGGCAAAAAGUAUGUUUUCUUGCCUUUAAAAUUUAUUGUUAAGUUUUUUGUCUUUUUUAAUCAUAAAAUACUUCAUUCAACAGAUAUAAAAUGUACAUAUAAGGAAUAAAAAAUGAUGUUUUAAAAAAUUAGGCUGCUCUCACCAGCUUCAGAAUAGAAUGCUAAAGCUGCCUCUGUGAUUUUUGUCAGUCACAUUCUUCCUUCUGCUCAGAGGUACCCGCAGUCCUACAUUUUGUGAUUUUUAUUUAAUGAUACCUGAUAAACUCUUGCUCUAUGCUUUUACUAUGGAUGAAUCUCUGCAUAUUACAUUGUUCAGUUUUGCAUGCAUUAGAACUUUAGAGAGAUGGUAUUACCUACUGUAUAUCUUCUGUAGCUUGCUUUUCCCAUAUAGUAUUAUUUUUGCCAUCUGUAUUGCUGUGUAGAAUUCAUUUUUCAUUAAAUCAGCAUUUCUUUUAUUAUCCAUGUUUUUCUACUUUUAAUUUAUUUAUGCUUCUUGCACAUUUGUUGAGUCGGAUUCUUGUAUUUUCCUAUCAAGUCAAAUCUUUGCAUUUUCUUCUGUUGCUUUUAAGCUUUAUCAUCUCUAUAGUAAGUAACAAUAAUAAUAGUGAUGAUAAUUGUGAUAAAAUCAUAGCAAAUACUCACGUUACUGUGUUUCAGAUACUGUUUUAAGCAUUUAUAUUUACAUGUAUCAACUCAUUGAAUGUUGGUGAAAAUUUGCCAAGGAGGUACAGAUUUUACUUUUCAUCAUGAUAAAGCAUAGGGAAAAAAUAUUAGGGACUAAAAGCACAGAGAUGUUCAGUAAUUUGUAUGACCAUGAGUUAAACUAGGCAGUCUGGCUACGAAUGCCAUGCUUUUAUCAUUUCACUAUUUGACUCCGAUGUAGUCUUUUCUUUUUUUCCCAUUUAACUUUUUAAGGUAUUAAAAACCUUGCUAGGACAUUAAAAAGGAAAUGGCUCUCACGCGAUGUUCAAUUGGGUUCUCCUGCACGAACAACACCUGUUGCUCGAAGUCAUGCCACAGUUUAAUUUGCUUCAUGGUUAGAACAUGAUUUUCUUUUUUAAAUUAUAAAAUUUUUAUUAAAUCAAUCUUAAUUAUCAAAUAAUAAUUAUAUAUAAUUAUGGGGGUAUGAUGUGAUGUCUUAAUAUAUGGUAUACAUUGUAGAAAGAUUUAGGCAAGCUGAUUAAUAUUUCCAUCACCUCACCAAUUUAUUUUUUAUGGUGAAGACUUUAAAAAUCUAUUCUUUUAACAUGUUUUAAUUAUACAAUGAUUAUUAUUAACUGUGACAUUAACCAUAAAACUUAUUACUCCAGUCCAACUGAAACUUUGUAUUCUUUCAUCAACAUCUCCCUUUUUCCAUUCCUCCUCUUCUCCCCAGGUUUAUUUGCAAUCUUUCAUUUUAUACAAAUUUGUUUGAUUCUACAGGAUUUAUCAUUGUGUUUUUUCCUAAUUAAAAAGAAAAAUAUACCUUUUUCAUAAUUUGAAAUUUUUUCUGUUUUUAAUUUUUGGUCUGUGGUUUAGACUUGAGUUCCUUGAUUUCUUUUGCUUGUUUGGGCCAGUUUCUUUAUAUUUUCGCAGCAGCAUUCUAUUUUUAUAAACAUUUGUAUGGUCUUAGAUGAAUCAGUAAUCAUCUUGAACUUUGUAAUACUUAUUUUAUUAAUUGCUAAUCACUUUCAUUGUGAAAUUACAAGGGGAGAUUACAAAAGGAAAAUGGUUAAAUAAAAGAAAGUUCUUGAUAGCGAUUGGAAACUACCAGUUUGACCCAAGACCCUCAAAUUUCAGAAGAAGAAACACAUUGGCAUUCAGAAAUAAAAUACGUUUGUAUCAUGACUUUCUUGAAAAGCUUUUAUAUUUCCUAAAGUAGCUAAUUAAUUAUAUUUUUCUCUUACAUGCUGUUUUUUGAUGUCUUUAAGUUUUUCCAAGCUCUUGCAUACUUUCCUAAUAUCCCUUAUUUAAAUGUGCUCAAAUUUCUCUCAUCUUUAAAACAAACAAAAAGCUUGUUCAACCCAACAUCCAAUAUGAUCAAGCUAUUCUAUAAGUUGUUUAUGUCCUUGCUAUCUCUCUUUAUCUGCCCUCCAUCUAAAAAUAUGUAUUUAGCCCUCUUCCAUGUCAGGUACUGACUUGUCUAAUCUCAGGGGACACAACAUGAAUCAGAGUGACACAGGCCUCAUUCUCAGAGGCUUUUCUAUCCACUUUAGAGCUGCUAUGUCCUGUUGUAGAAAGAGCAAGAAGAUCAUUUUGUAGUAAGAGAAAGAGUAUGAUUGGAGUUGAGAGUCAAGAAGUGGGCCAGAUCACAUGGGACUUUAAGAUCAUAUGAGGUGUAUAGAUAGUAUGUUGUAUGAUAGAAGAAGCAGUUGGGGGUUUUAAGUAGGCAAUGAGGAGAUCUGAUUUGCAUUUUCAAAUACACACUCUGCAUGCUGUAUGGAGAAUGUAACAUAGGGGUUGAGAAUAGAAUCAGACAAAUGUUUAGGGUUGGGCUGGUGAGUUGAUAAUGGUUGGGCCAGGAUGGUGGUGCCAGAACUGAAACCUUGCUGAUUGAUUGGGCAUAGGAUUUAAGGAAGAUAGAAGAACCAUUCAUAUUCUACUGAAAUUGCUUUGGUUGAAGCCACUUAUGGUGCUCAUAUCAUUAAACUCAGUGGAUUCAGUAGUUUCUAAUAGCAUUGGUAUUGUUAGAUGUGCAAUCUUAGGCAAAAAUUAAUUAGAUUGACUGUGACUCAGGUUCUUGUAGAAUGGAAAUAAGAUCAUACCUAUCACACAUAGGCUGUUGUAACCAUUAAGUGAAAGAAUAAAUGUGGAUUACUUAGCACAUCAUCUUCCACAGAGUUAAUUCACAGUGUUAAUAUCAUCAUCAUCAUCAUCUUUGUCAUUCUGGGACAAUACUUUCCCAUCUCUGACCAUUGUUUUUUCUUGGUCUUUUUCGCUAGUUCUUUUCAGCUUACCUCCAUGUGUUCCUCAAGGCUCUGGCAUUUUUUUUUCUAAUUUAAUACAUAUUCUUAUACAACAUUAUUUACUUUUGAGCUUCAGUUCUAUCUGCAUGUAAUUACCCACCCGCUAUGUCUAUCUGUUAGUUCUCUACCCUAAACUAUAGCCCAUACAUCCACAUACUUCUCUAUCAUCUCUACCUGGAGGACUGUCUAAGGUGCCUUAAACAUGUCAAAAAUGGAACUUCUUUUUCAACCUGAACUUAAGCCUUUCCUCUUUGUUCUCUAGCUUAGUAAAUGGUCCACCACUUGCCCAGUUUUCUGUAAGUCUCCUAAUUAGAAUCACUACCUUUGGUCUUAUGCUAUUCCUGUCCAUUUUUAUCAUCUUCAUUAUUUAAUUUGCAAAUCUGAUCAUGUCACUGUCCUUUGGUUAGUUCCCUUUCUUCUUAGGGUGAAGUUCUAAAUACUUAUAAUUUUUCAAGAUUGUUGAGAGCCACAACCAAGUCAAGAUGGCGCCUGGCAUUUUGCCAGAAGGAGUGGUUGAGAAGUAACGCCAGCGAGCCAUUAAGAUGAUGAUAAUUAAGUUAAGCUGUGUAUAAUUAUUAAGAUAAUGACUGAUUGCUGUAACUGGAUGAUGCUAAAUUGAAACAAGCUGUGUAUUCAGUUGUGUAUAUAAACCUCUGCUGUCCGGCAAUAAGGCGGUUCCUGCUACCUCGGGUGCCCGCUACUUUUGAGUUCCCGUUGAGUUCUCGCGGAGUUCCCGUUGGUUCUCACAGAGUUUCGGUUGAGUUCCGGUGGUGUUCCCGUGGGGUUCUGGCAAUAAAGUAGUUCCUGUUUGAACCUACAAGUGGCUCGUGACCUCCUGGUUAUUUUGUGCCCAGCCAGACUGCGGCACAAGAUUUGUUUCUGUCAGCACCAUCAUCUCCCCUUUCACUCCUUCCUUACAUUUUUCAGCCACACUGCUCUUGUUGAGAAGAGGAGCUUCAAUGAGCUAUGAUCUUAAUUUGGGACCACUGUAUAUCUUUCUCUUUGUUUGGAAUACUUCUCUCCUCCUUCUUAAACUGGGUGUAAGUCUUAACAGUUAUUCUUAGUUUCAGUGUUAUUUCUUCUAGAACACCUUUCUCAUGCCCCCCUCUCUUCCUCUGUUAUUUAGGAUCUUUAUUUAUUCUCUACCUCUAUGUAAUCUUUAUUGCAUUUCCUAGUAAUGUCUUUCAUUUUCACUAACCAUAACUUCCAGGGACCAUGUUAUCUUUUUUCACUUUGUCCCCUGCAUCUGCUUGUUAAAUAGAACAAGGAAUGAGUACAACACAGGCUUGUCCAGUUUGGGGAAUUGGAGACCUUCUGAGUUGGGUGUGCAUUUGUCUUAGUCACUCAGAAUUACAAAAGGGUAGAAUAGAAAAGUUUAGAAUUACCCUAGAUUCACUCUCAGAGCUCCAGUGGCCUCUGAGUGGAGAGGAGGAAAGUAGCAUGAGGGCUGCAGAUGGUUCUGAAGAUACUUUCUUGGUGUUGAAGUUUCUUAUCUCUGAUUGGAAUGCCACCCAGAGUUUGCAGGGCAGUGACCCUAGUACUUAAGGAUAUGCUGUCUUUUUCAUGUCCUUCCUACCUAUGUGAGGUAGCAUCCACUGUCGGAAGUCCUUGCCAGAGUUGAGCAUUGCUGAGCUUUACCUUUGUAGCCACACACGUAGACAUAGCUUAGCAAUCAUGUGCUGGUUGCUAAGCUUUCCAAACCUUGUAGAUUAUCUUGCUGGCUUUUCCUUCUCCUGUUUAGAAUCCUGGUGGGAAUUUGCUGGACUCUGUUCCUCUAACUUGCAGGGACAACGGUCAUGAAUUAGAUGAGUUAGGGGUUGCCUUUUCUUCAGUAUUUCUUUCUGCAAUUCAAAGUUUUUCAAAGUGAGUUUUAUUCUUUUUUAGUUUCCAGGAUGAUAUAGGUCUUAUAUGUUUUUUAUAGUCUAUUCACCGUUUUGAGAGGAACUGAUAAAAUCUGAUUGAAGGAAAACAUAAGUUCUCUUCUGGAAGGUAUUUAUUUAUAUUGCCCCUUUUGUCUUCAUGGGUGUGCACAUGUAUGAGCAGUCUUUUUCUCUCUCUUUUUAAAAAAUCCCUCUAUACCAUUCAUUUUGUAACGCUUUAUAAGAGUCAUUAUUUUUAAUAGGCACAUUUAAAUUAUUUAUGUUUUAUGGGAUGAACAUAUUUGAUGACAUUCUUUGACCUGUUAUUUUAUGCUCUUUUGUGAUAUUUUUGCCUUGGUUUUCAGUCUUUUGUCAUAUGGUUUUUGUGUUUUAUUUGUUUUUAUCUUUUAUAGGAAUUUAGUUUCUGUGACCUUAAAAACGUUGCUGAGCUUUACUUAAUCUGAUUAUUUCCCUAAAAAAAUACAACAGCAUUUGACCCUUUUCUACAGAAAAAACUUAAGAUCCUUUUGUUUUUCUCUGCUCUCCUUUAUUAAUGAAAGUGACCUUAGUUCAAAAUGAUUAUUGUUGAUUAUUGUUAUUUUUAUAUUAUACAUUCUCCCUUUUUAAGGAUUAUUUUUGUCCUUUUCAUUUUAUCAUGUAACAUCUAUGGUAUGCAGUUAUUACCGCCUACCUUUUUAUCUUAAUUUUUCCAUCUGUAAGGAUAUUUUUAAAAAUAUUUUUUAGUUGUAAAUGGAUCUUUUAUUUUAUUUAUUUAUAUGUGGUGCUAAGGAUCAAACCCAGGGGCUAACAUAUGUCAGGCAAGUGCUCUACCACUGAGCCACAACUCCAGUCCCUGUAAGAAUAUUUUGGUACAUACCUUGUUUAACAAGGGUACAUCCUUGAGUUGAUGUCUUUUUUUUUUUUUUUUUGGUAGGGAAGGAUGUAUGCAUGUUUUAUUUCCUGAGCUCUUCUGUUAUCUUAGGUAAUUUAAUAAAGAAUAUUAUAUACCAUGUUAACUUUCCCUUGCAAAACAACAUUGAAUUGAUAAGAGAAUUUUUAAAAGGCAUAAUUUGAUAAUUAGGAGGCUGGAAAGUUCUUCGAGAAUAACCUGAAUGUAAAUAAUAUUGUAAUUAUGGAAUAUAAAAAAGUUGCUAGCAUUCUAUACAGAAGAAGAAUCUGUAAUGAUAGAAUGUACUGGCAUUCAGUUAACAAAUUAGUGCCACUCCCAGGGUUCUUUCUGGGUAUUCAAAUAGUAUAUAUAAUUAUCAGGGUUAUAAUGUAAAAUUAUAAGUCCUUAAACAGGUUUUGUUUGUUUGCUUGUUUCUUUCUUUUCCAUACUGGGAAUUAAAUCCAGGGUACACUCAGGCUAGGUAAGCACUGUACCACUGAGCUGCUCCAUGCAUCCCUUUCUUAAAAAUAAGUUAUUUUGAGACAGGAUCUUGUUAAGUUGCCCAGGAUGGCCUCAAACUUGCCAUCCUCCUGCUUUGGCCUCCUGAGUAGUAGGAAUUACAGGUAUGUGCCUCCAUGAUGGGCAAGUCCUUGAACAGUUUAUCUUUGAAUGAAAGUGAGUAAUUUUGCCAGUUUUAGUUGAAUGGCAAUGAUAAUUUAUAACUCCUGUUGGACGGUUCAAAUUGAAAUUGACCCAAAGUUUAUUUUGUCAAAUUCCUCUUAUUAGUGUACAUGCCUCAUGUAUGUAUAAAGUUAGGUCACCCUGAUUAAAACAGUUGAUGCAAAAUUUGAAGUUUUUCCUUCUUCUCAAAGAUAAUGGUUUUUCUGAAAUUCCUAAAACAUAAUUGCUUAAAUGGAAAAAAUAUAUACAUAUUUUUAUUAAUGGUACUGGGGAUUGAACCCAGGGUUUUACACAUGCUUGGUAAAGUGCUCUCCCACCAUGUCACAUCCUCAGCCCUGGAAAAACGUAUCUCAAUUGAGUUAUCUGUUAGAUACUCACCUUAUUCUUACUCUGUCCAAAACGAAACUAAAUUCUCCAACUCUCUCUUUCUUAUACCUCCUCUUUUGUUAUUCAGUGGGGGAAAUAAAAUCCACUGCUAGAUAGCUUUUUAAAAAAUAUCUCAUUUAAUCUUUCUGAAGCUUAAUGAAGUAAGUGUUAUGAUCUACAUUGUGCAGGGAAGGAGACAGAUCUUUAGGAAACCGAGGAUUUUGUUUAUUUAUUUAUUUAUUUGUUGCAGUCCUGAGGAUUGAACCCAGGGCUUCAUGUUCACUAGGCAAGCACUCUGUCACUGAGCCACAUCCUCAGGCCUAAAACUGAGGAUUUUAGAGGGUAACUAAUUUUUCAAGAUUAUUCAGCUGAUUGAGUCAGAAUUUGAAUGCAGUUCCUGUAUACCAUGCUGUAUAAACAGAAAUAUAGGACUAGUUCUAUGGGCACUAGGACACUUUGUACAAAUAUAGGGAAAACAUUUGAGUUCAGUUAUAUUAAAACAUUUAUUGAGCCUUUAUUUUAUGGAGAUGAAAUCCCACCAAAUAUUCUUUUUUUGGGGGUGGGGGGAUACCAAGGAUUGAACUCAGAGCACUCAAACACUGAGCCACAUUCCCAGCCCGUUUUUGUAUUUUAUUUAGAGACAAUGUCUCACUGAGUUGCUUAAUGUCAUACUUUUGCUGAGGCUGGCUUUGAACUUGCGAACCUCCUGCCUCAGACUCUUGAGUUGCUGGGAUUAUAGUCAUGUGCCACCACACCCAGCCCACUGAAUACUCUUAAGGAGCUUAUAAGAUAGGCAGAUUUGUAAACCUAAAAUUCUAGCUGCAGUAAUACAUUAUAGUAAUAGAAGUGCUGAAAUAUAAAGUAGUGCAGAGGAGAAAUACAUUCUUUUUCUAAUAGAAGGAAUGGCGAGAAGGAAAUGGGAGAUCCUUGUGAGGGAAAUGAUACCUAAAUAUAAACUUUAUAUAAAUGAUAUGUACACAAUUUCCUGCCUAUAGGAAUGAUGUCUAAAUUGGGCUUCAAAGUUAAAUAUGAAUGCAUUCUGUAUAUAAUAUAGAGGAUAUAAGUGGUAUGGUGAGGUUAUAAAACAUGUAUGGGAAACUAUAAAAAGUAGUUGGUUAUUGUCAAUAUUUAUUUGUUCAGUAAAUACAUAUUGAAUUUCUACUAGGGGCUAGGCUUUGUGUGAGGUACUAGAGAAAAAGUAAGGAUAAGAGAGUGCAUGGAACAUAAGAGUAUACUAGGUUGUAUGGAGGAUUAAAGUAGACAUAGGAAAAGAAAGAAACCAAGUAGGUCUUAAAUGGCAGGAUAGAUUGAAUUUUUCCCUGUAGGUGUUAAUGAGCCAUGAAGUAUGUUAGAUUGGGUUAUAGCACUGUUAGAGCCAGCAUGCAGGGCUUUUGGUUACAUGUGGAGGAAAUCAGAUUGUGGGCAGUAAGAGGCACAUAAUCUGACGAGAGAUGAAAAGGUGUAUUUGAGUACCCUCUUGGAAAUAAAGAUAGUACUUAGUGUUGUUUGGAUAUAAUGGUCAUUAGAAGAGAAUCAAGGUGACUUUCAGCUUUGUGGUUUCAUUUGGGUAAAUGGGAGUCCUUUUUAAACAUAAUUAGGAAUACAGAAAGAAUAAUAAAUUAGUGAAGAAAUAAAGAAAUAAUUGAAUUGAGUUUGGGAUAAGAAAAAUAGUUUGGAGUAUAUGUGGAGUAUUUAGGUUCAUUUAAAAACAUGAUUUAAUUAAUAAAGAAAACCAUAGUAGGACAAAGUAGAAAGAAUAUGCAAAAUAUUUUAUUUCUUUCACUUUAUGAACUUCUUUUGGACUUACCCCUCUCAAGACCAAUACUUGUCAAGUAGUUGAUAGAGGUCACAAAGAUUUACUUUUUGGUGAGGUUCAUUUUGUAAAAUUUCUCUGUUAUAUACUAUAUCAGAUCAAAUUUCUUAUUUUCUGCAAUAGAAAGUUAACUUGGAGGGAUGGUUGCUAAAAUUCUGAUAUAACAAACAUUUAUUUGCAAUUUCCAGUGCUGAAACUUUCUAUUCCUAGAAUGGUGACAAAGUUCUGAUUGUAAUAUUUUAAAUAUGAUUUAAGGACAUGUCUUAGGGCUUAUAUUUAACUCAUUAAAAUUAUUUCUUAGUGAAAGAAGACCCAACUUAAUAAAAUUAGAGAUGGAAAAAGAAGAUAUCACAACAGACAUUAUGGAAAUCUAGAGGAUCACUAGGGACUAUUUUGAAAACUUAUGUCCCAAUAAAGUAGAAAAUCUAGAAGAAAGGGAUGCAUACCAAGAUAUAUACACCCUACCAAAAUUGAACCAAGUUGAAACCUGAUACUAAAACCGGAUAAGAGCACAUGUAGGAAAUAAAACUAUAGAUCAGUAUCCUUGAUGAGCAUAGAUGCAAAAAUCCUUAACAAGAUACUAGGAAAUAGAAUUCAAUAAAACAUUACAAAAAGUAUACAUCAUGAUCAAGUUGGUUUUGUUCCAGGGAUGCAAGGAGGGUUUGAUAUAUACAAAUCAGUCAAUGUAAAUAGAACCAAAGACAGAAAUCACCUGAUUACCUCAAUAUAUGCAGAAAAAGCUUUUGACAAAAUUUAGCAGUCAUUCAUAAUAACAACCCCAAUAAAAUUAGGGAUAGAAGGAACUUAACCUCAACAUUAUAAAGGCUACACAUGACAAACCCAAAGCCUUGAAUGGGGAAAAACUGGAAGCAUUCUUUCUAAAAUCAGGAACAAGACAAAGAUGUCUACUUUUAUCAUUCCUAAUCAAUAUAGUGCUUUAAAUUUUACACAGAGCAGUUAAACAAGAGAAGGGAAUAAAAAGAUACAAAUAGGAAAGGAAGAAGUCAAAUUAUCACUGUAAAGAGGUGAUCUUCUCACUGUAAUGAGGUGAUCCUACACGUAGAAGAUCCUAAACAUUCCAACAGAAGACUUCUAGAGCUGAUAAACAAAUCCAGCAAAAUAGCCAAAUACAAAAUCAACAUACAAAAAUUGAUAGCUUUUUUGAACACCAAGAAUGAGUCCACUAAGAAAGAAAUCAGGAAAACUGUUCCAUUUGUAAAAUCCUCAAAAUAAAUAAAUAAAUAAAGCAGAAUAAGGCUAACUGAAGAGAUAAAAGACCACUGCAGCAAAAGCUACAGAACAAUGAAAAAAGAAAUGAAAGAAGUUGCUAGAAAAUAGAAAGGUCUCCCAUGUUCAUGGGUAGGCAGAAUUAAUACUGUUAAAAUGGCCAUGUUACCAAAAGUGAUCCACAGAUUCAAUUGCAAUCUCCAUCAAAAUAUCAAUAAUAUUCUUCACAGAAACAGUCCUAAAAUUCAUAUGGGAGAGCAAAAUAUUCAGAAUAGCCUAGGCAGUUCUGAGUGAAAAGAGUAAUACUGUAGGCAUUUCAGUAUCUGAUUUAAAAUUAUACUACUGAGAUAUGUUGACAAAUACAUCAUGAUACCGGCAUGAAAACAGACACAUAGACCAAAGGAACACCAUAGAAGACACAAAGACAAACCCACACAGAUACAGUCAUGUGAUCCUUAACAAAGAUGCUAAAAACAUACAUUGAAGAAAAGACAACCUUUUAAACAAAUGGUGCUUGGAAGACUGGAUAUUCAUAUAUACAAGAAUGAAACUAGAUCCCUAUCUCUCACCUUGUGCAAAAGUCAACUCAAAAUGUGUCAAAAACCUAGUAAUUAGACCAGAAACUUCGCAACUGCUAGUAGAAAACACAGGGGAAACACUCCAGUAGUAGGUACAGGCAAUGACUUCUUUUUUUAAGAUUUUUUUUUAAAGAGAGAGUGAGAAUUUUUAAUAUUUAUUUUUUUAGUUAUCGGCAGACACAACAUCUUUGUUUUGUAUGUGGUGCUGAGGAUUGAACCCGGGCCGCACGCAUGCCAGGUGAGCGCGCUACCGCUUGAGCCACAUCCCCAGCCCAGGCAAUGACUUCUUGAUAGCACUUCUAAAGCCCAGAAAGUAAUAGCAAAAAUUAAGAAAUUGGAUGACAUCAAAGUAAAAAGCUUCUGCGUAGCAAAGAAACAAUAAAAAAACAUGAAGUGAGAGCCUACCAAAUAGGAGAAAAAUCUUACCUGCUACUCUUCUGACAGAGGAUUAAUAUCCAGAAUAUAUAAAGAACUCAAAAAACUCAACACCAAAAAAAGGGAAAGAAACCAACAAAUAAUCCAUUCAAUAAAUUUUCAGAUGAACUUAUCAGACAAUUACAAUUACAAUUACAAAUUGAACAAAUGCAAAAAUGUUCAGUGUCUUUAGCUAAUAGGGAAAUGCAAAUCAAAACUACACUGUGAUUUCAUUUUACUCCAGGAUGGCAAUCAUCAAGAAUUCAAAUAACAAUAAAUUCUGGCGAGGAUACAGAGAAAUAUAAACUCUUAUACACUAUUGGUGGAAAUAUAAAUUAUUAUAAUCACUAUGGAAAUCAGUAUGGAGGUUCCUAAAAAAAAACCCAAAAUCUAGGAAUGAAAUCCCCAUAUGACCCAGCUAUACCACUCCUAAGUAUUCAUCCAAAAGAAUCAAAGACAGCUUACUGUAGCUAUACAUGCAUACCCAUGUUCAUAGUAAUGAAAUUGACAGUUGCCAACUUAUGGAACCAGCCUAGGCAGCAUAUCAAUGGAUAAAGAAUGAGGUAUAUAUACACAAUGGAGUUUUAUUUGGCCAUAUAGAAGAACAAAAUUAUGUUAUUUACAGGAAAAUGGAUGGAACUAGAGAGCAUUAUUUAGGCAAAAUAAGCCAGACUCAGAAAGUUAAGGGCCACAUGUUUUUAGAGAGAAGAAAGUAAAAAGGGGCUCUCCUGAAAGUAGAAGGGAGACCAAUAGAGUAGAAGUAGGGAACCAAGAGGAGGGAGGAGGAGGGGACAAAAGGAGGUACCGGGAAAUGAAAAUGAUCAAAUUUUAUUAUGUCCAAGUACACAUAUACUGCAGUGAAUCCAACAAUUAUGUAUAAUUAUGCAACAAUAAAAAUAAAAUUUAAAAAUGUUUUGUAAGGUGGAUGGGAAAGAUAAGUUAAACAGCAAAAAAUAUCUUUUAAAAUAGAUUUAGAUAUCUGGUUUAUAGUCCUAGGCAUAGGAUUACUUAGCCAGGAUUAACAAGUUUUUCUUUAGACAAAACAGUCCAUCUGAUGCCUUGCAUCUUUUAUUUAUUUUAUUUCUUUAGUCUAUAAGCUUUAUUUAUUUAUUUGGUACUAGGGAUGACCACUGAGCCAUAUCUCCAGCACAUUUUUUUUUGUUUUGAGACAGGGUCUCACUGUGUUACUUAGAGACUUACUAAGCUGCUGAAACUGGCUUUGAACUCUCAAUUCUUCUGCUUCAACCUCCUGAAUCACUGGGAUUACAAAUGUGCACCACCAUGCCUGGCUUAAGCUUUAUUUUCAUCAAAAAUCUGCACAUGGGGAACCUGAGAUGGGAAGCAGCAGCCACCAUCUUCACCCCUCCCUGUAUAUGUUUCACUCUUUGGAAGUUUAUGAAUCAUUCUCCAAUAGUUACUUUUAUAAUUUUAUUUAACAGAUAAUAUCCAGUUAUGAAAGAAGAAAUUCUGAAAAAAGAUGGCCUGUAUAUGUAAUAUAAAAUAUUAAAUCAUAAUAUGUUAUAAUAAAUAUAAACACUAAAUUUAUAUUUAAUAGUAAAUGUAAAAGUUAAAAUAUUUUAUAUUAGAAGUUGAGCUUUUGUCUACAUUCUAUUUUAGUUAUACAAUUGGUAUACCUUUUCAAUGGACAUAGUGUCACUCUUGCAUUGUCAGUAUUAGAUACACUUCUUUAUGUUCAUUUCUUACCUUUUUUCCAUUUUUUUAUUUGUAGAUGGACACAAUAUCUUUAGUUUAUUUAUUUUUAUGUGGUGCUGAGGAUAGAACCCAGUGCCUCACAUGUGGGAGGCAGGUGCUCUACCACAGAGCUAUUUUUUAUGUGAACCUAAUAAUAAAGAAAAUGUAGAUGCUGCAAUAUAUAGACAUUAUAUUUCUUCAAACUAGCUAUCUGACUUUGCCUUUGGUAAGUCUCUUUAUCUCUUUUCCUAUUUAGAAAAUGGAAAAUUUGUUUCUCUCACUUUUUUACCCCUGUCAUAUACAUGACAAAUGGCAACAUAGUCACAUAGUCCUAUGGAGAUUUGAUUAUAGGUUGUGAAAUAGAUGGUAUAGGCUGCACAUGAUAUUCAGUGCCUAGUACUAGAUCUAACUCUACUCUUUUCUCUCCCAUUCAAGAAACUAUUCCAGAAGAUUAGUAAAUGAAAGUGACAUUAGAGGUAAUUCUAAACCCAUCUAGUUUUUUAUUGUGUUCUCAAACUUUGGCACUUAAAUACAAUUUUCAGCAAGAUACCUCAUGACUAAUAUUUUACUAUUGGUAGGUGGUGACUUCUAAGGUAGUAGAUGUGUCUAAGACUUUGGCUAGUUAUUAAACUUAUUUAAUGAUGCAAUUCUGUUAUUCUCAAGCAUUUCUGAUUUUCUGGUUAUUAUACUAGUAGGUUUUCAUUGGUAGGCAUUACAUGAAUUAAUAGUACCAUAUACAUGAUAUGGAUUCAGUAAAUAUUGAGUGGACUUAUUAAUGAAAUAAUUAUCCCUGUCUGCAGAUAACAUAAAUUCAUAAUUUUUUUUCUUGUCCCUUAGCAGGACAUGAUUUUGUGGAUUUCUUAAAGUGAUACCGAGAAGACUGUUUUUCAGUAUUCUGUUACUUUCAGAAAUCUGCCAUAACUAGUCUUCCUGAGCUUGAUAAAAUACUGCAAAAUUUUUAAUUUUUUCACUAAUAUGAUGAAAUAGGAAAUAUACUGAUCGCUUCAGAAGUGGCAAGGGAUCUAAAGUCUACUAGUAGAUAUUAUUUUUCAUUUGUUGUUUUCUAACUGUUAUGGGAGAAAUUGUAAAUGUAUUCCUCAAUUUGUUAUUCAUUUAUUCAACAAAUACUUUUAAACAUUUGUGCACUUACUAUGUGACAGGCCACCUACCAGACCAGCAGUCAAAGCAGUUCUCCAAAGUGUGAACUGGAUCUUUGGAGUCUUUGAGACCCUUUCAAGGAUUUAUGAAGCCAAAACUAUUUUGAUACUAAUACUAACUGCUUUUUUCACUGUUGGAUGUUUUCAUUAAUGUUGCAAAAGCAAGAGUGGGUAACCCUGCUGGUUCUUAGUAUGAAACAAAGCAACAAAUUUCACUGUCAUUCUGUUUUUCAGCAACACUGCAUAAGUCGGAAAAAAGGGUAAUUUCACUUAAGAUGAUGCAUUACAAACAUUUAUAUUUUAUUAAAUUUUGUUGACCGAAUACAUAUCUUUUUAAUAUUCUAUGUGCAGAAAUGGAAACUAUAUUUUUGUAAAGUGCUUCUGGGUACUAAAACACACUGGUUGUCUUCAGGAAAAGCACUUGUGCAAUUGUUGGAGAUACUAUUUUACUUAAAAGAAUGAUAGACAAACCAUGGUAUUUGGGGGGCAUUUUUCUCAAAAAUGAGCAAAUUGGUUCUUGGAAAACACUGGCACUAUUUUUGUCAAUUAGAAAAAGUGAGCUUUCAGGUUAAAAAUUUUUGGAAAACAUAUCUACUAUUGUAAGCAUAAUAGUUUCUCAUUAUUUAGAAACUUUUCCGAUGAAAUCAGUAGUGAUAUUAAUGAAUAUGAUUUUUUUAAAGAGAGAGAGAGAGAAUUUUUUUAAUAUUUAUUUUUUAGUUUUUGGCGGACACAACAUCUUUAUUUGUAUGUGGUGCUGAGGAUUGAACCCAGUGCCACGCGCAUGCCAGGCGAGUGUGCUACCGCUUGAGCCACAUCCCCAGCCUUGAAUAUCAUUUUUUAUUACCAUGUGUUGAAGUGUGUCAACAUAUGAAAGAUCUGUAUAACCCAGUGAACCAGUACUUUCCAAAUGAACUUUGUAUGAUGUCAUAAAAUUAGGCAAGCGUAUGUCUAUUCAAAAUAGCUUAAAUGUGUUACACCACUAGUCAUAUGAUGAGUGUGAGAAUUUCUUUGAUAUGGUUUUAGACUAUCACUUGUUGAUCUUUGGUGUGAUGAUAAAGAAUGUCUACAAUUAUCUGAAACUAUUAUUAAAAUACUCUUCCCUUUUCCAGCUACUAGAUUUUCUUCACAAAUGUAUUUCAACCAAAACAAUGUAUCAUCACAUCAGAUUGAUUGUAGAAGUGAUUAUCCAAUUAUUUUAUUAAGCUGUUAAACAGAUUUGCAAAUAGAUUUUGUUAAGAUAUUAAAAAGAUUUGCAAAAUAUAAAAAUUCCCAUUGUAUAUAUAUUUGUUGUUUGGGUAAUAUAGAUAUUUUUUACCAAAUGUCAUUUUUGUAAAUGUAUUUCAGCUUAAAAAAUAAAAUUUUACAGUUCCUUAAAAGUUAUUUUCAAGCUAUUUUUAUUUACUGUUGUUAUUUCUAAUCCAACAGCAAAUAUUUAAAAUUUUUCUGUUAUAAUUACAAAUAUAGUAAAUAUUGGUAGGUAUAACUAUAUAAACAAAAGGUAUUUGGAGUUCUUGACAAUUUUUCUGGAGUCUAAAGGCUCCUGAUAUCAAAAUGUUUGAGAAAGGGUAACCCUAGAAAUACAAAAAUAAAAUAGAGGCUGGGAUUGUGGCUCAGCAACAUAAAAAUAAAGGCAUUGUGUUAUGUCAAUCUACACCUAAAAAAUAAAUAUUAAAAAAAACUUUCAUAGUAUACAUUUAGAUUAGUGAGAACAAUACUAAAAAUGAAACUUCUCUUCCACAAAACUAAAUAUAUUCUAAAUAAAUAAAUUAAAAGAAUGUUCUUGGGCUGGAGAUAUAGCUCAUUGGUAGAGCCCUUGCCUAUCAUGUACCAAGCGCUGGGUUCAAUCUGCAGCACAACAACAAUUAAAAAAUAUAUUUUUUCUCUCGAUUGCUUAGUUCUUGAUGGUGUUAAUGUAAUCUUUCUUAUAUGAUGAAUUUAAAGUUUUGCAGGUUUUUUUUUUAAUGUCCUUACUUGACAAAAUUCAAAUUUGCCAACUCUCUGUUUGUUACUGCGGUUUUGGGGGAACAUUUUACUAGCUUGUGGAAAACCACUGAUAUAGACAUUCCUUUGGCAUUUAUUGGAAAGGUAUUUGACCUUUAGGUUUGACACUUGAAGCCCACUGUUACAGUCAGCUCAUGUAUUCUGAAGCUAAUUAUCAACUUUGUGAGUUCUCUGGAUUCCCUGUGUAUACCGUUUCUCCUUGGUAGUUUAUUAUCCAACUACAGGGAUAAAAGUAGAAAGAAAAAACAAACUUUAGUGUUACCAAACUAACUUUAGUUGAAUUUUGGGGUAUUGGAAUUCUGGGGGAAGAAGAUGGAGAAGUGAAAAUUUUUCACCAUAACAGAGAAUUUGAAUUAUCUUUGGAUUCAAGUCAGGUUGCAUUUUUAACUUUCCACCUCUUCAUAGAAACUGCUAGUAAUUGUAUAAAUAACAGAUUGAGCAGACAGACUCUAGCAUUGGAAAUGAUGAUCCCAUUCCAUAGAAACUGUCAUUUACAUGAUGAGUCUUUCACUCUAUAAAACGAAUGGCUGUAAUGUGCCAGGUCCUGGGGUAUAAAGAUGAAAAAGAUACUGUCCCUGACCUUAAGAGGAAGUGAUGAGAGCAAAUCAGUGCCCUUAAUGUUGCCAGGGAGGUACCUGGCACAUUGGGUGUUCUUGGAGAAGCUGGGAGUGGUGGGAGCUGGGAGAGGUGGCAAAAGAGAGUAAUGCUAUGAAAUGAAGAUGUGGAGGUGGAAUUAGGAAACUGUGAGCCUAUUUGGGGAAAUAAGGAGCAUGUUGGUAUGGUAGGAGUGCGGGGCGGGGUGAGAUGUGGAGGUGCCAUGAGAGAUGCUGAAGAGUUAGGCGGCAGCUAGAUGUACAACUUUAGAUGCUCUGUUUAGGAAUUUGAACUUUACCCAAAAGAUUUACCAGAACGUGUUCUGUGGGAUGGUUAUAGGACAGAAAGGGGUUUUGAAGCAUCACUCCAGACAGAGUUAAUCAUAUAUAGUUAAAAAGCAUGACUCUUUUUGUACUAGAAUUGUUUCUGGCUAGGAUCUUCACUCAGGCGGUUCAAAAAGAAUAAUAGGAAGAAAGCUGCCAAAUUGACACUUGGAUUUUUUUUGGGGGCGUGGAGUAGAGGGUUGGGGAACUAGCCGUUGUUUUCCUAUAUCAUGGACAUAUUUAAGUUUUAGUAGAUUAAAGUGCAGUAAGUUUUAUAAUCCUUAGGAUAUAUCCUGAAGGUAUGUCCAAGAUAUUUAGAGAAAAAUUUUGAAGGUGAAAUAGAAGUUAAAGUUGUAUCUGGUGGAAAUGAAAAGAGGAAGUGCAGAAAUCUGAGCAUCUCAGACUUUUCACUUAAUUCCCUACUUUUUCCUCUCAGUGAGAAGAUUCUCAAAUAAUCUUGAAUUAUGUUUUCUUAUUACUUGUUGAUUGUCAGCCACACUAUCUAGCAGAGAAACAUAGAAUCAGAGUAUGCAGAAUGGGUUGGUAUUCCUAAAGCUUUUCCUUUUCAGUUGUGUAAUGGUCAAGAGCACUGACCCUAGAACUGUAUGGCCUAGGUUCAAAUGUGCCAAUUACAUUACCCAGUUACUUAGGGUCUGUUUCCCUUCCUAACUUUAAGACCUUAAGCAAAGUACUGAACCUUCCUAAGCUUCAGUCUCUAAAGCUAAAAUGGAAAAAAAUGGCAUUAUCUCUAAGGCUGUGAACAUUAAAAAAGCUGAUGAAUGUGAAGUGCUUAGAAUACUACCUGGCACCUGUCAGUGCUUAGUUAACUGUUAUUUUUAGGAUUUCUUUAUCCUGUGGUUUUAUUUAGAAUACUUUACUAUGGAAGAAUGAAUAGUAACUUUUCUGGCCUAAAUAGGAUUCUUUGGAGAAUGAUCUGCUAUCUCUCAAUGUGGUUAGGUAUAUAAAUGGACUGUUAGAAUUUUUGAAUUCAUGUAAUUUAAAUUUAGCAAGUAUCUAACAUAUUUAAAUAAUAAUAGUAGCAACUAACAUUUCCUGAGCAUAUACUAUGUUCCAGGAGUUGUUCUAGGAAUUUUUAACUGAAUAAUUUACUUAAUGGUUAUCUUAGAGUUGAAGAAACUGAGGCACUAUGAGGGAAAGCUAACUUGUCCAAGGUCAAUAUUGAAACAUUGACAGUCUGGCUCCAUAGUUCACACAAACCCAUCUUUCACACAAUCAUAUUAUGUAUUUUAGAUGUAUUUUGACAAAAAUAUUUUAUUUCUAUAAACAUAAUCAGGUGGAAACAUUAACUAAAAAAUAAUUUUGUUGAAAUAUUUCAGCAUAAAAGUGUUAGUGUUACUUUUUCUAUUCUGGAGAACAUUUGCUCCUGAUGUCACAUGCUUGAGCCACAUUUACUAUGUUUUUUUUUUUUUGUGUGUGUGUGUGUGUGUUUGUGUGUGCAAGUAUAAGAUUAUGGGUUUGAUGUAACCAAGGCAUCCAGAUGUGUGUACAUAUUCUUUAGAACUGAUUUUCUCUUUACAUCUCAGCUACAUAUUUUCAGGGUAGUGUGUGAGUAAUACCACUUUAUGUAUUUUAUAAACUUAUCUGCUUCUUCUCCUAUCCUGUGAACAUUGAAACAAUUAGGGUUGUAUCAAAUCCUAAUUUAUGAAAUGCAUUCAUUGUAGGAUUUAACAAUGAAGAACACUGUGACAGAUUGUGCUUUUUACAUUCUUAAGUAUAAAAAAAAAUCUAAGCUGCUCCGAAAGUAGUCACUUUAGUUGCUCCACUUUGUUGAUGCUAAUUUAACACUUUCUGCAUCUAUUAAAAAACUGGGCAAAACUAAUUUGCCACUAGAUGGAGCUCUGGCUAUUUGGGUAGGAAAAAAAAGGCAGUGAAGUCAGAACAUUAAAUCACCCAGUUAUAUCAUGGUGGAGGGUCCUGGGUAUUUGCGGCCCUCAGCUUUUAAUUGCAGAAUGCAUCUUUGUUCUUUGCCUGACCUGCAGAGUGACGUCACUGCCUUUCUUCCUGUGUGCUGGCUUUGACACAAGCCAGAUGGCCACAGUGAUCGGUAGGCACCCAGGCUGCCUGGUACAGCGAGCGGUUGAUGAAACAGAAUAGGAAGACGUUUUAUGGUCAGCUGUGAGAGCACAAUGAGGCUACAGCUUUGCUAAGUAAUUACAUUUACCGUGAACACUUUAUUCCUUGCAGAGAAGGGUCUCAUGGAAAAAAAUACAUUUUUAUUUAUAGUGUUGGGAGGUAUAGACCUUUGAUCUUUUAUUAGUCAGUAGUCUGCUCCAAAGGCAUGCUCUCUUUCCCCUGCUCUGCAGUCACUCGUGAAAAUGACAUGUUUAUUUAUGUUUAAUGGUUCUUUCAGGCUGUGCAUUGUGAUACUUACCUUCCCUCUUCCUCUCCUUUGUCUCCAGUUGGUAACACAAAAAUGUUUUAGUUUCGUAGUGAGUUUAGUUUUGAGAAGUCAGAGUUCAGGCAUGUUAAUACAAGCAGAUUUCUGCCAGAUAUACUCCAGAGUGAUUUGGUAAAAUACAUUACUGUUUAUUAUGUGUUUGUUCUUGAAGUAGGUCAGAAAAGUCCAGGAACAGGUUUUUAUUUGCCGGUGGAUUGGGGGUGGGUGGGUGGAAGGGGAAUGGACAUGGUGGUCAGGAAAUGAACAAGACAUUAAUUUUAUAACCAUUUUUGGACAUUUGGUAGUUAAAGCUAAUUAAAAUACUAAUUUUAAAUAACAAUAAGAAGUUUAUAUUAAUAUAGCACUUUUCCAUUUUCAUUUGAAGUUAAUCUUUACCAAUUACAAUAUUGUUUAAAACUUUCACAAAAAUCCUAAGAACUGAACUGUUCUUUGAAGCUUAAUAUUCAUAUGGUUUUGAGAUUCUUCCACAUGAUUCAUUUCCAAAGACUUUAGAAAAAUAUUUUUAGCCUUUUUAAUACUAGGUUCUCAGUGUUUUUUCACAGAAAUUUAUUUAGAAUUUAUCAUAAAAUAGAAUGAAAAUUCUUGUUCAUGUUUUAUUCUAACUUAACUCGGUUUCUGCCGUGAAUUCUCUUAGUUCCCCUUAGGUUUUUUUGAUUCUAUUUUUAAAAAAUGAAACUCUAACAAAAGAAGUCUCUUAAAUUCACAAUAUUUUUGAAAUGCAUUCUCCAGGAAGGAAGGCUUGCACAAAUAAUUGCUGGGAAAAGGCAGCAUGGUAUAAGGCAAGAAUAUGGCUUUGCAGUCAGAUGUAAUAAGGUUUUCUAAUCCUUUUUCCCCUGGUUAUUUGGUUUGUGCCCUUGGACCUUUGAGCCUAGGUUUCUCACAUAUGUACUAGGAGGAUAAAACCUACUUCCUAGGUUUAUUGUAAGAAUUAUAUGAUACAAUGUGUAUAUUAGGCUCCAGACAGUUCCUGUCACAUGUUAUGAACUCACUAAACCUAAUUCCUUUCAACUACUUUAAACUUCAACUUCUUGCAAAAUGUGUUUGCAGAUUACACUGCUAUUAUAUGGUGUGUAUUUUAUUCAUAAGAUAUAAAUAAGCCUGGGUGGAAAAUAAGCUCACUGUCUGAAAAAUAGACAUUUGAAAUUUAUUAGCACUGUGUGUGUAUGUAUGUUCAGUUCCAGAUAAAAUCAUAACUAUAAAUUGUUCAAUGAAUGUGUUUAACAUUCGUGUUGUGUUAAUUUGUUUUUUUUUUUUUCUCUUACUCAGCUCUUGCCCCUGUUCUUUGCCUCUCGUUUUGUUGGUGAAGAUAUUACAGUGAUGUCUGCAUUCAACCUGCUGCAUUUGGUGACAAAGAGCCAGCCAGUGGCCCUGCGAGCCUGUGGGCUUCCCUCAGGUUGCUGCUUGUUGUACUGUACAUAGUGAGGGCACUGGUCUGUGUGGGUGUUUCUGCUGCAGGAAAUGAUGCACCACCUUGCUUUACUAAAUUUCCUUUUCUUUUAUUUGAGUCCUAAUUUGAACACGGAAAUUGGUUAUAAAUCACCACUCUACUUGAGUGGCAUUCAUUUCCAUAAUUCUUCAGCUCUUGGAAACACUGUCCAGUUUCUUUGUCCAGUGUACGAUCAUCACUAAUAUUUCACGAUAUCUUCCUGUUCCUUGCACACUACACAUCUGCAAAUCAUAAUGUUCAUAAGAGGUGGAAGCUCAGUGAGAAACUGCCCCAAAUCAUUCAAAAUAAGACAUUCAUCUUGUUAAAGGAUAAUGAAAACACUUUUCGUGCUACAUGUGGGCAUCCUUUAGGGAAAAAAAAUUAAAUGACCAACUUUG
rnacentral:lncRNA from 1 species